rnacentral:rRNA from 1 species
UACGAAGGGGACUAGCGUUGUUCGGAAUCACUGGGCGUAAAGCGCACGUAGGCGGAUUUGUAAGUCAGGGGUGAAAUCCCGGGGCUCAACCUCGGAACUGCCUUUGAUACUGCGAAUCUUGAGUCCGAUAGAGGUGGGUGGAAUUCCUAGUGUAGAGGUGAAAUUCGUAGAUAUUAGGAAGAACACCGGUGGCGAAGGCGGCUCACUGGCCCGGUACUGACGCUGAGGUGCGAAAGCGUGGGGAGCAAACAGG